rnacentral:tRNA from 1 species
AUUUUAAGUGGUGUAAUAAACACUUAACAUUUUCGUUGUUAAAUUCUUUAAUAGCUUAAACAA